UACGGGGGGGGCAAGCGUUGUUCGGAAUUACUGGGCGUAAAGGGUUCGUAGGUGGCUUGUUAAGUCAGACGUGAAAUCCCUCGGCUCAACCGGGGAACUGCGUCUGAGACUGAUGAGCUCGAGUGCAGGAGAGGAACGCGGAAUUCCAGGUGUAGCGGUGAAAUGCGCAGAUAUCAGGAGGAACACCGGUGGCGAAGGCGGAUCUCUGGGCCUGUCCUGACGCUGAGGCGCGAAAGCUAGGGGAGCGAACAGG
rnacentral:rRNA from 1 species